AUCGCUUCUCGGCCUUGCGGCUUUGAUAGAGCGCUUACGGAUAUGUUCUCUUCAGCUUAAUAUCUGAAGGUUCCUCACAGAGGAACAAAAAUAUGAAAGCAAUUUUUUGAAAGGUGACGGGAUGUAGGAGCUUGCUCCUCUCCCGUCACGGGUCGGCCCGGCAUUGCAGUGCCGCCGGGAUCGGCCCACAGAAC